rnacentral:rRNA from 1 species
CGGGUGAGUAAUACAUCGGAACGUGUCUUCUAGUGGGGGAUAACUGCCCGAAAGGGCAGCUAAUACCGCAUGAGACCUGAGGGUGAAAGCGGGGGAUCGCAAGACCUCGCGCUGGAAGAGCGGCCGAUGUCCGAUUAGCUAGUUGGUGAGGUAAAGGCUCACCAAGGCGACGAUCGGUAGCUGGUCUGAGAGGACGACCAGCCACACUGGGACUGAGACACGGUCCAA